AGCCUCCUGGUGCUUACCACAGGCUGAAUUCUUACACUGCCUGUACAGAAAGAGGAGACAGCCCAGCCCAGGUGCUUUGUGCCUGGUCUGUACUGUGAAUGGGGAGACAUGG